rnacentral:rRNA from 1 species
UACGUAGGGUGCAAGCGUUGUCCGGAAUUAUUGGGCGUAAAGAGCUCGUAGGCGGUCUGUCGCGUCGGCUGUGGAAACCCGGAGCUCAACUCCGGGCCUGCAGUCGAUACGGGCAAACUGGAGUGUUGCAGGGGAGACUGGAAUUCCUGGUGUAGCGGUGAAAUGCGUAGAGAUCCGGAGGAACACCAGAGGCGAAGGCGGCCUGCUGGGCUGCACCUGACGCUGAGCCGCGAAGGCCAGGGGAGCGAACGGG